CUCAGGAUGAACGCUGGCGGCGUGCCUAAUACAUGCAAGUCGAGCGAACGGACGAGAAGCUUGCUUCUCUGAUGUUAGCGGCGGACGGGUGAGUAACACGUGGAUAACCUACCUAUAAGACUGGGAUAACUUCGGGAAACCGGAGCUAAUACCGGAUAAUAUUUUGAACCGCAUGGUUCAAAAGUGAAAGACGGUCUUGCUGUCACUUAUAGAUGGAUCCGCGCUGCAUUAGCUAGUUGGUAAGGUAACGGCUUACCAAGGCAACGAUGCAUAGCCGACCUGAGAGGGUGAUCGGCCACACUGGAACUGAGACACGGUCCAGACUCCUACGGGAGGCAGCWGUAGGGAAUCUUCCGCAAUGGGCGAAAGCCUGACGGAGCAACGCCGCGUGAGUGAUGAAGGUCUUCGGAUCGUAAAACUCUGUUAUUAGGGAAAGAACAUAUGUGUAAGUAAC
rnacentral:rRNA from 1 species